UAAUACAGAGGGUGCGAGCGUUAAUCGGAGUUACUGGGCGUAAAGGGCGCGUAGGCGGUAUGGUGAGUGUGAUGUGAAAGCCCCGGGCUUAACCUGGGAAGUGCAUCGCAAACGACGAUACUAGAGUAGAUGAGAGGGUGGUGGAAUUUCCGGUGUAGCGGUGAAAUGCGUAGAGAUCGGAAGGAACGUCAAUGGCGAAGGCAGCCACCUGGCAUCAUACUGACGCUGAGGCGCGAAAGCGUGGGGAGCGAACAGGAUUAGAUACCCUGGUAGUCCACGCUGUAAACGAUGAGAACUAGAUGUUGGGAGGGGAACCUUUCAGUAUCGAAGCAAACGCGAUAAGUUCUCCGCCUGGGAAGUACGGCCGCAAGGUUG
rnacentral:rRNA from 1 species